rnacentral:lncRNA from 1 species
UUUCAAUGUUAGAAAAGCACAGAGAUCUUUUUUGGCACUGGUUCAGGGAUUCGGAGAUUUACAAUGGAUGGUGUAUAUGGAGAAAGAUAAUGUCUGUUGAGAAAUGAGCUGGUGAGAACUCCGGGUGUCACAGGACCCAGGCCAUCUGCACAAUCUCUCAGAGGAAGACAGUCUCUCAGACGCUCAGUUCUCUGGCACACACAGGUUUUUUUUUUUGUCAUUGUGUCUUAUCACAUUGUGUGAUAUCCCUCAUCUAUGACUGAUGUUUGACAGGACCAGUCUUAUGUGGGAACAGUAUAGUGACAGCUGGCUAAGGACAGCUGUGUGAAGAAGAGGGCCCAGGAGAGCAGUGAGAAGUAUGCAGAACAAGAACUCCAGCACAGAUCAGAGGGAUGCUCUCAUGAGAACUCUGCCCAUCAGCAGGCUGGCAUAUGAGAGAAUAUUCAGAAGAGAAAGAGGAAGACGAGGGAAAUGAUUUGAAGAGCAGACGGUGUGAAGGGCAGACGGCAGCUUGAAGUAUCCCCAUUAGACAAUCCCACAUAGUGUGAGCUCAGUUCUGCUACUGAUGCUGUAACGGAGAGCUGAGUGCCACACACUAAAAAUGAGGAAAAUGACACCACAGACACAGGCCAAAUCAUCCAAGGCAUGCUCAUACUCAUUAUCACUAAGGUGUUGUAUUUCUUGAUUUGGAAGCUCCAAGAAAUAUGCAGACAUAUAGCCAUAUCAUCAAGACUACACUGGAGUGAAUUGCAGUGAUUUAAAAUGUGAGAUUCUGAUUUUAGAAUUCACUCAAUUUCCUUAUUUAAAUUCAGUGUCCCUGAAUUGCUUAUGAAGUGAACAACAUGAAGAAUGCCUGUUUAUAAAUGCCAUUUUAAGGAAAAUCAAUAACCAUUAUACGGUUUCUGCUAUCCUUGGCUCUCUGAGAUGAUAUGAAUCUAUUCAUAUAGCAGGUGUUGUGUGAAUCUAAACCUCUGGGGAGGGGAUUAAAUAAAAAAAAUUUCCGAAUCUGAACCAAAUAAGAGAAAAUGAUAUCACUUCUACAAUACAGAAGCCUUUUAUAACACUACUUCCCCAUCAUUUCUUCAGUUUGGCUGUAAGUUGGGUACUACCUAUAGACAAUGAUCUUAUAACAUCCACUGAAUGCAUUACAAGCAGUAAAGCCCAUGUUAUGUGCUACACACAGCACCAAAUUAGAAAGGUGUAAUUUCUGAUGUCUUGGAGGGUGGGCUACAGUGGGGCACAGAGACAAACAGGAGCACAAACAUGUAGACUCGCUGAAGCAAGCAGGAAAACAAGAGGCUUCGUGGGUCACAGUCUCUAGAAGAUCAGACUAAUAAAAGGAAUACAGUUAAAGGGGAUUUGAUGGGUUAUCUUGCUCGGUGUGGUCUGAAUAAGUCAACCAGGGCUAGCUUACACCAGGGAAGCCAGG